rnacentral:rRNA from 1 species
UACGGGGGGGGCAAGCGUUGUUCGGAAUUACUGGGCGUAAAGGGCUCGUAGGCGGCCAUCUAAGUCGGACGUGAAAUCCCAAGGCUCAACCUUGGAACUGCCUUUGAUACUGGGGAUCUUGAGUCCGGGAGAGGUGAGUGGAACUGCGAGUGUAGAGGUGAAAUUCGUAGAUAUUCGCAAGAACACCAGUGGCGAAGGCGGCUUACUGGUCCGGUUCUGACGCUGAGGCGCGAAAGCGUGGGGAGCAAACAGG